rnacentral:rRNA from 1 species
CUACGGGGGGCUCCAGUGGGGAAUAUUGGGCAAUGGGCGCAAGCCUGACCCAGCAACGCCGCGUGAGGGAAGAAGGUUUUCGGAUUGUAAACCUCUGUCCUUGGGGACGAAGAAGUGACGGUACCCAAGGAGGAAGCUCCGGCUAACUACGGUGCCAGCAGCCGCGGUAAUACGUAGGGAGCGAGCGUUGUCCGGAAUUACUGGGCGUAAAGGGUGCGUAGGCGGCAUAUUAAGUCAGGUGUGAAAUACCCGGGCUCAACCCGGGGGGUGCAUUUGAAACUGAUACGCUUGAGUGUGAGAGAGGAAAGUGGAAUUCCUAGUGUAGCGGUGAAAUGCGUAGAUAUUAGGAGGAGCACCAGUGGCGAAGGCGACUUUCUGGCUCAUAACUGACGCUGAGGCACGAAAGCGUGGGGAGCAAACAGGAUUAGAUACCCUGCGUAGUC